rnacentral:lncRNA from 1 species
ACUAAUUUAAAAAAUAAUUAUUAAAUUUCAGAUGUCAAGUUCAGGCAAAUAUUGAAAUAAUAUAUAUUUAAUCUUAUUAAAGCAUUUGGAAAAGUACCCUGCAGUAUUUCUUCCAACGCUCUACAUUGUGAGUUCAAAUCCUGCCAAGGUCGUCAUUGCUUUUCUUCCCUUCUGGGUUGAUAACAUACCAAUGAAACACUGGAAUUGAUUCAUCCAUUCUCUUCAAAUUUGCAGGCUUUGUACUUAAAUUAGAAACUUAUGAGAUAAUUCCCCUUACUUAUUUUGUAAUUUAAAGCUCAUUUGAAUAUCAGUUUUUCUCAUUUAUUACUUAGAAGUAUUGUUUUCCCUUUGACUGGUACAACUAUUAAACUUUUCUACUAAUUAUUCACAAUUGAUGAUUUUCAACCAAUGAAAUAUUUAGUCAGCCCAACAUUCCAUGUGUACACCAUUUGUGAUAUAAUCCCAUAUAAUCACACACGUGCACAAGAGAGUGAAGUUCAUAUACAAUUCCUGAUGGAUAAUUAAUUGAAAUAGCAUGCAAUACAUACACUUGCGUAUUGGGAUAUAUAUCUAAUUGCCUUGUAUAACAACAGGCUUUGAUCCACCACUUCAUCAACUUUACAACCAUUGUCACACUACAACAGCUACAAUUACAAUGGAUUUUCUUACUGCAGCGGAUGUUAAGUCUUUGGAUUUUACAACAAUGGAUUUUACAAUUAUUGUCAAUAAAUAUUCAACCAGUUGGUCACAUCUAAAAUGGUAGUUUGGAAGACUGCUCAACUCUGUGAAAUUUCUGACCCAACAACAGUAUCAAUUCAAGAAUGUAGUGAAAUAGGGAGAGAUACAAAACAUGAAGAAAUACCUGGAGUAUCAGGAGAUAAUACAUACCAAAAACAAUGCAGAAAAUACAUUACAAAAGCACCUUCUCC